rnacentral:tRNA from 1 species
UCUCUGGUGGUCCAGUGGUUAGGACUUGGCACUUUCACUGCUGGGGCCGAGGUCUGAGCCCUCAUCAGGGAA